UGGGGAAUAUUGCACAAUGGGCGCAAGCCUGAUGCAGCCAUGCCGCGUGUAUGAAGAAGGCCUUCGGGUUGUAAAGUACUUUCAGCGGGGAGGAAGGGAGUAAAGUUAAUACCUUUGCUCAUUGACGUUACCCGCAGAAGAAGCACCGGCUAACUCCGUGCCAGCAGCCGCGGUAAUACGGAGGGUGCAAGCGUUAAUCGGAAUUACUGGGCGUAAAGCGCACGCAGGCGGUUUGUUAAGUCAGUUGUGAAAUCCCCGGGCUCAACCUGGGAACUGCAUCUGAUACUGGCAAGCUUGAGUCUCGUAGGGGGGGGUAGAAUUCCAGGUGUAGCGGUGAAAUGCGUAGAGAUCUGGAGGAAUACCGGUGGCGAAGGCGGCCCCCUGGACGAAGACUGACGCUCAGGUGCGAAAGCGUGGGGAGCAAACAGG
rnacentral:rRNA from 1 species